rnacentral:rRNA from 1 species
UACGUAUGGAGCAAGCGUUAUCCGGAUUUACUGGGUGUAAAGGGUGCGUAGGCGGCGUUCCAAGUCAGGUGUGAAAUACCAGAGCUCAACUGUGGCAUUGCACUUGAAACUGCUCAGCUUGAGUGCAGGAGAGGGAAGUGGAAUUCCUAGUGUAGCGGUGAAAUGCGUAGAUAUUAGGAGGAACACCAGUGGCGAAGGCGACUUCCUGGACUGUAACUGACGCUGAGGCGCGAAAGCGUGGGUAGCGAACAGGA